GACGAACGCUGGCGGCGUGCUUAACACAUGCAAGUCGAACGGUAAGGCCCUUCGGGGUACACGAGUGGCGAACGGGUGAGUAACACGUGGGUGAUCUGCCCUGCACUUCGGGAUAAGCCUGGGAAACUGGGUCUAAUACCGGAUAGGACCACUGCCUGCAUGGGUGGGGGUGGAAAGCUUUUGCGGUGUGGGAUGGGCCCGCGGCCUAUCAGCUUGUUGGUGGGGUGAUGGCCUACCAAGGCGACGACGGGUAGCCGGCCUGAGAGGGUGACCGGCCACACUGGGACUGAGAUGCGGCCCAGACUCCUACGGGAGGCAGCAGUGGGGAAUAUUGCACAAUGGGCGCAAGCCUGAUGCAGCGACGCCGCGUGAGGGAUGACGGCCUUCGGGUUGUAAACCUCUUUCAGCACCGACGAAGCGCAAGUGACGGUAGGUGCAGAAGAAGGACCGGCCAACUACGUGCCAGCCGCCGCCGUAA
rnacentral:rRNA from 1 species